UAGAAUCAUUUGUCAUAUGCACUGUGCU
rnacentral:sRNA from 1 species